GGGGUUGUGGCUCAGAGGUAGAGUGCUCACCUAGCAGGCGGGAGGUACUGGGUUCAAUCCUCAGCACCACA
rnacentral:tRNA from 1 species